CUUUGACCGCCAAAACACAUGAAGACGGUGACGGCGGUCAGGUUUAAUGGCGGCAGGAGCGGCUAAAUCACCUUGAAGCCCAAACCACCGACUUUCUGCUGUUGACACAGUGCCCUCUCAAGCAGCAACUACAGCAAGCAGUGUCACAAGCAACGUCAUCUGGCUAUUCAGCCUCCACCGGGAAAGUUCUCCUGCAGCAGUAUUUGAUUGGAACGGCUAAUGUAAGGUAAUGUAAGGUUCAGGAAUCACUGGAGUUGUGCAUAAGGUCCAUAAGGCCUGAUUUACUACAGGUUGUUUGUGAAUGUAAAAGCGAUGGCAAACUUAAGCUGUUAUCGAAAUAUUGAUAUUUUUGACAGUAGUCUGUAACUUGAAUAAAAUUAAGCUCUACUAUGCACCUGAACAUGGAUCCACAUAUAUUUUACAGGGUAUCAGCAGAGAGGCAGCUCAAGAGGACCAGGCUGAGCAAGUCCUGAGGAUCUGUGUCUACCACACAGGACAAGAAGAUGAAGGUGCAUUCGACGCUGAUAUGUCGAUUGUGGUUGAAGGGACUGAGGUACUUGACAACUGUGGAAGUGUUGCAAAGGCCUGUCUCCUGCUGAUGGGCAUUGUUUAUGCCAUGAACUUGAGUUACCCACCAAAAAUGAAGUGCACUUUUGAAGUGUUCCAGAAGCUUCUUCUAGAGCUUGAUGUCCUUAAGCUAUGUUUUAUUGAAAAACAUAUUUUUUCACAGAAAAAUAAAUGUGUUGAAUUAAAAGUUGCCUCAUUUUUAAAGUCAUUGUUUCAAUACACAAAAACAUUAAGAACAAAUUUAGGCAAUUUAAACUGCAGAAAAUUAUGUAAAAUGCUGUGUAAAUGUUACUUACAUAUAGUCCAUAAAUAAAACUUAAAAAGGUAUUUAAAAUUACCUUGAAAGGCCAUUGAUU